AGCUACAUCCGUCACCUGACACGGCCCUACCAGGAACAGCCGCGCUCCCGCGGAUUCUGGUGCUGCUCGCGUCCCCGCUCCCCUAUUCCCCUUAUUUUAUUCCUGGCUCCCCUCGUCGAAAGUCUUCCAUUCUUCAAACUAGAUUAUUUAAAAAUGAAAAAGGAAGAAAGGAAAGCGAGGUCAUCUCAUUGCUCUAUCCGCCAAUCAGGAGGCUGAAUGUCAGUUUUGAACUAAAAGCCGCUCCGCUCCUCUUCUAGAUUUGGAAAACAAGCGAAAUUAAACUAAACCGCUGCACGCCUCUGACGCGACAUCUGGACACGGCGCGGCGCUGGCGCUGCCGGAGCUGUCGACCCGGCCUGGCGCCGGACUAGUGUCCCUUUUGAUGAGAAGAAUAAGCCUCAUUCUGAUUCAACAGCAGAGAUCAAAGAAAAGACUUCUGUUUUCUGGCCACCAGAUAUAUGUUAUCUGUGCUUAAAGAAUUGAAAAACACACAUCAAAGGAGAAUUUUCUUGGAAAGAGAGGGUUCAAGCAUCACUGUUAGGUGUGCUGGAAUCCUUUCCCGAGUCAGUACUGCUUUCUAGAAGAAAACCGGGGAGAUCUAUUUGGAAUGUAUCUAACUCCAAAGAAACCAUCAGAGGUAACAGUAGAGACGGGGUUUCACCAUGUUGGCCAGACUGGUCUUGAACUCUCGACCUCGUGAUUCGCCCGCCUCGGCCUCCCAAAGUGCUGGGAUUACAGGUGUGAGACACCACACCCGGCGGAUAGAGAGAAUUUUGACAGGUGAUGGAGGCUUUUUAUUUUGCCACAAAACCACUGGUGACGUUGCCUGUGGCCACCUUGGAGAAGACACUGGAGGAUGAUUACGGAGCUAGGAAUUUCCUACGAAGCUGGGUGAUAAAAGGACAUUGGACAAAAACACAGAUAGCUUCAUUCUAUACCAGGAUCCAUCACUGAUUAGCUGUAUUAUAUUUGUCUCUACUGUAAUUUGAGGAGAAUGAUACCUGCUUCUCUAUCUUGUUGGGUUUUACAGAUGAUGUAUUGAAAGUUCAAUAAAAUCUAUAAACAAU
rnacentral:lncRNA from 1 species